rnacentral:misc_RNA from 1 species
ACAGUGUAUCAGGCCAUGCUGAUGGACUGGAUGAGGAAUCUUGAAGCUGGCGUUCCUGCUCUUCUUGAGGAUGGAAUCAAGUUGCUUGUGUAUGCUGGAGAAUAUGAUCUUAUCUGUAACUGGCUCGGAAAUUCAAGAUGGGUUCAUGCAAUGGAAUGGUCUGGUCAGAAAGAUUUUGUGGCAUCUUCUGAAGUUCCUUUUGAAGUUGAUGGUUCAGAAGCGGGAGUAUUGAGAAGCCAUGGACCUCUCGCUUUCCUCAAGGUCAACAAUGCAGGGCACAUGGUUCCCAUGGAUCAACCCAAGGCUUCAUUAGAGAUGCUGAAGAGGUGGACUCAUGGAAAACUGUCUGAAGGCACAGCUUAUCCAGAAAAACUGGUUUCUGAGAUGUAAUGCACUGUUAUUUGGUGUUAAGAAGUAUAUAUUUGCUGUUGGUUUUAAACAGAAUUCUAUAUGAUGUCUGUACCUGGAGGAAA